CCUACGGGAGACAGCAGUGGGGGAUAUUGCACAAUGGGGGAAACCCUGAUGCAGCGACGCCGCGUGUGGGAAGACGGUCCUCUGGAUUGUAAACCACUGUCCCCAGGGACGAAGAUGACGGUACCUGGGGAGGAAGCUCCGGCUAACUACGUGCCAGCAGCCGCGGUAAUACGUAGGGAGCGAGCGUUGUCCGGAAUUACUGGGUGUAACGGGAGCGUAGGCGGGACUGCAAGUUGGGGGUCAAAUCUACCGGCUCAACCGGUAGCCGCACUCAAAACUGCAGUUCUUGAGUGAAGUAGAGGCAGGCGGAAUUCCUAGUGUAGCGGUGAAAUGCGUAGAUAUCAGGAGGAACACCAGUGGCGAAGGCAGCCUGCUGGGCUUUUACUGACGCUGAGGCUCGAAAGUGUGGGGAGCAAACAGGAUUAGAUACCCCAGUAGUC
rnacentral:rRNA from 1 species